rnacentral:rRNA from 1 species
AACGAACGCUGGCGGCGUGCCUAACACAUGCAAGUCGAGGGAGAAAAGGAGCUUCGGCUCCCCAGUAAACCGGCGCACGGGUGAGUAACACGUAGGUAACGUACCCUGGAAUCUGGGAUAACCAGUCGAAAGACUGGCUAAUACCGGAUACGACUGCGGAAGCUCCGGCUUCUGUAGUGAAAGACGGCCUCUGUCUACAUGCUGUCGUUCCUGGAUCGGCCUGCGCACCAUUAGCUAGUUGGUGGGGUAAUGGCCCACCAAGGCUGAGAUGGUUAGCUGGUCUGAGAGGAUGGCCAGCCACACUGGGACUGAGACACGGCCCAGACUCCUACGGGAGGCAGCAGUGGGGAAUAUUGCGCAAUGGGGGAACCCUGACGCAGCGACGCCGCGUGGGUGAUGAAGGCCUUCGGGUCGUAAAGCCCUGUCGGGAGGGAAGAACGACCCCGGACCCAAUACGUCCGGGAUUUGACGGUACCUCCUAAGGAAGCACCGGCUAACUCCGUGCCAGCAGCCGCAGUAAUAC